AUGCAUUCCUUUCUUAAAAAACAUUUGUCCGAAUAUUCUAUGUGUUGUCCUGAGAAGUUCCCAGAAGAGCUAUAUGAUGUAGAACUACCACAUGGUAGUCUAGCUGAUUCUUCAAAGAUGUCUCUUGAAACUUCUGGAAUUUUACCAAAGAUGCCAAGUGUGAGAAUAGCUUCUCCAGUUUCUGUCACCACAGAAGCAGACCAUCAGACUGCUCGAUCAGAGAGUAGAGCAGCAAAUGCUUCAAAUGAGGAAAUUAACAUUCAGUGGUACAAUCCUUCUCUGGCAAAGCCAUCAAGCAAUACAGAGACUAAGGUAUAGCUACACCAAAGCAGUUAUUAAGUAUUGGAAUAAAUUAAGUCUCAUUUCUAGUGAAUAUUUGGUCAUGACAGAACAACUGUCCAGUUGGCAAGCUGGACAGCCCAGAGCGAUGCAUUUAUUACAACACAAAACUGCUACACAGGACAAACAUAAUGCCCUGACAGUCAUUUGAUAGCAGGUUAACGAAAGACUUUGGAGAUCAUGUAGAGCCUCCAGACCAUAAUGUUUGCUUGUCUUUUGCAAGACUUUUAAGUCUUUAAGACUCUACACUUAAAUUUGGUUGAAGGUUGCAAAUAUUCAAACAGCAUCACUUGGUAGGAGGCUGUCAGAAAGGAGAGGUGUUCGUAUACAAAGAAACUGGGAUUUCUUGAACCUCAUUUCCCUGAGAAAUCAGAUUAAAAAUGAAAGGUGAGAUGGACUGGAGGGUUGUGUGGAAGUGAGAGACUGGGAGAUGGAAAUUGUGUUGUUUUUAAACAAUGGAACUGAAUGUAGAUACAAUUUCUGAUACUGCAAUAGGGUUUCAUGGUCUCUAAACAUUUUGGCUUAGCAAAUCAAAGUUUUUGCUAGAUCCUUCUCAUCUCUAUUAGUGAGCUAAUAGAAGCAAUGUGAAGUUAGUGCAAAGAAUGCACUUCUCGAUAUAGUUUUAAAAGUUACUUUAAGGCCUUACAGACCAGUAGAGAUCUGGAGACAACUCUUGAAAACAACUGACAUAUGUAUGCCAUAUUCUUGACACUCUCCAUGUAGUCAAAAUAAUCAGCCACUACUGGGACGCAUAUUGUCAGUCAUACAAGAAAAUUAAUUCUGUGAAAGAUGAGAACAUUCUAGUUCAUCAUCUUGUGCUCAGAUAUUGAUACCACUCUGUUAGAAUGGUGAGUUAUGUGCAGUUCAUGUAUUUAAAUAUAGUAUGAUGACAGCCAUGCACAAGGUCAUAUUGGAAGUGUAAAUAAUUGCCUUUUGGAAAUUCAUAAAAGGUCUCUGUUCAGCCUACUUGAAGUAGGAACUUUCAACUUGAACCUAAGUGUGAUUGAUUGACUG
rnacentral:lncRNA from 1 species